GCAUUGAUGGUUCAGUGGCAGAAUUCUUGCCUUUCUUGUGGGAGACCUGGGUUCAAUUCCCAGCCAGCGCA
rnacentral:tRNA from 1 species